rnacentral:ncRNA from 1 species
AACUGAUAAAGGCAAACUUGCCGAAAGGCAAGGGCGCAAAAUCACCGGUCUAAAGAGGUUUUUCCUCCAUGACAGCGGGAUUGCCAGA